rnacentral:rRNA from 1 species
UACAGAGGUCUCAAGCGUUGUUCUGAUUCAUUGGGCGUAAAGGGUGCGUAGGUGGCGCGGUAUGUCGGGUGUGAAAUUUCGGAGCUUAACUCCGAAACUGCAUUCGAUACUGCCGAGCUUGAGGACUGGAGAGGAGACUGGAAUUUACGGUGUAGCAGUGAAAUGCGUAGAUAUCGUAAGGAAGACCAGUGGCGAAGGCGGGUCUCUGGACAGUUCCUGACACUGAGGCACGAAGGCCAGGGGAGCAAACGGG